AAGGCACAGCCAUUAUCAGGGUCUCUUUGGCAAAGUAAAAGUAGAGCUCAAGGGACCUCAUGCAACAGCAAUGAAAUACUCCAGCUUGGAGGUGACUCUUGCUGCGUCUACAAUUCUUUGGCUAGCACUAGUCAUGUGUGUAAGAGUAACUGUGUCUGAGGAAGAAGGACCUGGAAUUCUGACCUUACACCAUGGCCUCCUUGACAGAACCCCAGCAACAGCAGCAAGCAUAAAGGUCCUGAAGCCGGACUGUGCUGGGCAUUCAGGAAACAGCACCAGGCAGUGGUGGCUGCAACACCCAGAACAAAGAGGAUACAGUGAAGGAGGCAAUUGAGAGGAGGACUGGAACAAGGUCCCCAUUCUGAACCACCACAGAAACAAUUUACACAACUCCCAGGGCAGUUGAAGCACCGACCUGAGGUCCUUAUCACCAGUGGAAGAAGCUGAGGAUGACAAGGGAAGGGACCACCUCAUGCCUGGGAAGGUGCUAUCUGGAUGACAUUCACUUGGACUUCUCCCUUCUUUGGAUUUGCUUGGAAAUCAGUCCAAAAUCAGAAGGAAUUAACAUCCUUCCAGGUCAGAUUGAAUAUGGUAUUUAUUAUCCUUUUGGCCCUUCUUCACAUUGGUCACGUGACAUCACUCAAACUGUGGUGAGAAGAUAAAGAAGCAUUGUCAACCCCAGGCACCUCCUCAAACCUUUCUGGAGAGAAGAUGCCAGAUGGAGUACUGGGAGGGAAGGAUUACAGCCAUCCUUGGCUGAUAUGGUGGCUGGAUUCCGAUACAAUCGGUGCUUAGAAAAUUAAAUCAUAAUUAAAGAAGACUUGGAGGCAGUGAAACCUUAUUCUUCAAACUCCUUCCCCUGGCAAAAUACAAUUCUAAGUGCAUCGAGGUUCACUGUGAUGUGUAGACAUUGGAGUCUGGCUAAUUUCAC